ensembl:snRNA U6 U6 spliceosomal RNA
UUGCUUUGGCAGCACAUAUACUAAAAUUGGAACCAUGCAGAGAAGAUUAGCUUGGCCCCUGUUCAAGGAAGACACACAAAUUCGUGAAGCGUUCCAUGUUUUU